AAAUAAAUAAAAUAAAAUAAAAAAUAGAAGGGAUUCCAUGCCACAUAAAAAGACAAAGAAGUAUUUUGAUGCACAACCGCAAGCUGGCAGCCAUCACCAUCACGAAAGCCACAUUGGCUGCUGCCGCUGCUAUGUGCGUGGUUGGACCAAAGCUUUAUCACUUUACGUGUCAACACCUCCCUGCCCGUGAUAUUUAUAACAAGCCACCAUCGUGCACUCUAUCCUAAAACCGUUUCGCUCGGGUGCUAUGCUGGCGGUGGUCUUCCCAGUCGCUUGCUUCCCUCAUAGGGAUGUACCUCGCUGUCACGUGUCCCCCGCCCGAACCACCGUCUCCAGACCUAGUUUGACAUCUACCUCCACGUAGGCUCGGACAACCGUUUGCCUCCGAACCAAAGUCCAAUAAACAAACAAAAAAACAACAUUAAUAAAAAUAAAAAACAAUUAAUAAAAUACACUCAUUGUAGUUGCAGCACAGAGACACGCAGAGCAAAGAAAGGAGUGUGGGUUCGUCUUCUCUUAUCUCAGAAGCCAAAAUAAUGAAAA
rnacentral:misc_RNA from 1 species